CUACGGGGCGCUGCAGGCGAGAAAACUUUGCAAUGUGCGAAAGCACGACAAGGUUAAUCCGAGUGGUUUCUGCUAAAGGAACCUUUUGUCGGUCCUAGAAACACCGAUGAAUAAGGGGUGGGCAAGUUCUGGUGUCAGCCGCCGCGGUAAAACCAGCACCUCAAGUGGUCAGGAUGAUUAUUGGGCUUAAAGCAUCCGUAGCCGGCUCUGUAAGUUUUCGGUUAAAUCUGUACGCUUAACGUACAGGCUGCCGGGAAUACUGCAUAGCUAGGGAGUGGGAGAGGUAGACGGUACUCGGUAGGAAGGGGUAAAAUCCUUUGAUCUAUUGAUGACCACCUGUGGCGAAGGCGGUCUACCAGAACACGUCCGACGGUGAGGGAUGAAAGCUGGGGGAGCAAACCGGAUUAGAUACCCCCGUAGUC
rnacentral:rRNA from 1 species